rnacentral:rRNA from 1 species
GUGAGGAAUAUUGGGCAAUGGGCGAAAGCCUGACCCAGCCACGCCGCGUGAGUGAUGAAGGCCUUCGGGUUGUAAAGCUCUGUGGGGAGGGAAGAAAAAGCGCAGGAGUAACUGCCUGUGUGUUGACGGUACCUCCUUAGCAAGCACCGGCUAACUCUGUGCCAGCAGCCGCGGUAAUACAGAGGGUGCAAACGUUGCUCGGAAUUACUGGGCGUAAAGCGCGUGUAGGCUGACAUGCAAGUCGGGUGUGAAAUCACAGGGCUCAACCUUGGAACUGCACUCGAAACUGCACGUCUUGAGUACUGGAGAGGGAAGCGGAAUUCCGGGUGUAGAGGUGAAAUUCGUAGAUAUCCGGAGGAACACCAGUGGCGAAGGCGGCUUCCUGGACAGUAACUGACGCUGAGACGCGAAAGCGUGGGGAGCAAACAGGAUUAGAUACCCCGGUAGUCC